GUAAGCAUAUCAAUAAGCGGAGGAAAAGAAACCAACAGGGAUUGCCCCAGUAACGGGGAGUGAAGCGGCAACAGCUCAAAUUUUGAAUCUGGCCUCCUUGCGGGGUCCGAGUUGUAAUUUGCAGAGGAUGCUUUUGGCGAGGUGCCUUCCGAGUUCCCUGGAACGGGACGCCAUAGAGGGUGAGAGCCCCGUCUGGUUGGACACCGAGCCUCUGUAAAGCUCCUUCGACGAGUCGAGUAGUUUGGGAAUGCUGCUCUAAAUGGGAGGUAUAUGUCUUCUAAAGCUAAAUAUAGGCCAGAGACCGAUAGCGCACAAGUAGAGUGAUCGAAAGAUGAAAAGCACUUUGAAAAGAGGGUUAAACAGUACGUGAAAUUGUUGAAAGGGAAGCGCUCGUGACCAGACUUGGGCCCGGUGAAUCAUCCAGCGUUCUCGCUGGUGCACUUUGCCGGGCACAGGCCAGCAUCAGUUCGCCCCGGGGGACAAAGGCGGUGGGAAUGUGGCUCCCUCGGGAGUGUUAUAGCCCGCCGUGCAAUGCCUUGGGGCGGACUGAGGUUCGCGCAUCUGCAAGGAUGCUGGCGUAAUGGUCACCAGUGACCCGUCUUGAAACACGGACCAAGGAGUCGUCUUCGUAUGCGAGUGUUCGGGUGUUAAACCCCUACGCGUAAUGAAAGUGAACGCAGGUGAGAGCUUCGGCGCAUCAUCGACCGAUCCUGAUGUUCUCGGAUGGAUUUGAGUAAGAGCAUACGGGGCCGGACCCGAAAGAAGGUGAACUAUGCCUGUAUAGGGUGAAGCCAGAGGAAACUCUGGUGGAGGCUGGCAGCGGUUCUCACGAGCAAAUCCUUCACCAAAUAUGGGCAUGGGGGCGAAAGACUAAUCGAACCUUCUAGUAGCUGGUUUCCGCCGAA
rnacentral:rRNA from 1 species